rnacentral:lncRNA from 1 species
UUUAAAACCAGCUUGAAAAAAAUCAGUUCAUUUGAUUCUAGUUCUGUUUUAAAUUGAAUGUAUCAGAAAUGAAAUGGAAUUGAAAGUCAUUCUCAGUUCUGCAUGGUGUAAACUGUGCUGUUUACAAACCCAACCCCGGAUGACUGCUGCCAGUAAGCGUGCAGCUCAAAGUCCUCUACAGACGUUCCAGUCACUUUUGGAAAGCACGUACAGUCCUGACUUUGACUUCCACUUUCUUCUGCUUUGGGUCUGAUGACAUAACAACUACUUUCCUGCCCACUUUAAUGGCUGAUUAUAUACUCUACUAUAUCCAGACGUGGCUGACGCCGCUGCUGGUUUUGACUGUGAGUCUGUGCAUACUGAGGUACUGCUGCAAACUCUGCAGCAAAGUCUCAGACACUGACUCAGAUCUCGACCUGUCGAACAGCGACCAUGUCUACGUGAUUCCCAAUCCCAUUCAUGUGAGAGAAGAGCGAGACGAACGAGACGAGACAAACUCUCAUGAUGAUCUUGUGUUCACACCACCACCAUAUGAGCUAGUGUGUCCACCACCAUCAUAUGCAGAGUCCAGCUUUAAAUUAAGAGGUACUCCAGAUUCAGAGAUGGACACUUCCAACAUACCGCCUCCACCAUACAGCCCACCUUUAAAUAUGAUGUCACAAUCAUCCAGCCAUCAACAAUAGACACUGCUGAAUAUAUAUUUUUGUAGGUGUGAUGAUAGCUAGUAGAACUAAUGCAUCUUUUUAUUCUCAUAACUGGAAUUGUGUAUGUGAAAGUUCAUACCAAAUAGGCAGAGCAGUUGGCAUUUUCCCUGGAACUUGGUACAGUUUUCCAGAACAAUCAUUCAGCACUAGAUAAGUAGCCGUUUUAAUGAGCAAAUGAACCAAAGUCUGUCAUACGGUUACUCAACAGUCCCACAGGAAGAUCUUUACAGUUUUUACGUCAGAGAUAUUUCUUAUCUUAAGAACAAGAAGUUUAUUGCUUUUGCGAACCAUGUCAAGGGGAGUGGCUGAAAUGCUGACAUAUUUUUUGGCAACUAUGUAAAUCCUUAAUUACUGGGAUAAAUUCAGUUAAUGGGGUCAUAUGACGUUGCUAAAAAGAGCAUUAUGUUGUGUGUUUGGUGUGAUGCAAUGUGUUUAUGCGGUUUAAGGUUAAAAAAAGCAUUAUUUUCCACAUAAUGUACAUUAUUGUUGCUCCUCUAUGCCCCGCCUUUCUGGAACGUGUUGAUUUUUACAAAGCUCAUCGGUCUGAAAAGCGAGGUGUGCUCUGAUUGGCCAGCUAUCCAGUGCAUUGUGAUUGGCUGAAUACCUCAAGCGUGUGAUGGAAAUGUUAUACCCCUUACCAUGCUGUGAUGCUGUGUCCCAGCGCGAUGAGGCAACACCAAUAAAACCCAUUACAAACGAGGCAUUUGUUGCAUCCAAUGGGGACAUAAUUACUGAUCAUAAUGACUUAUACUGUCUUUUUACGCAACAUAAACAUAAAACCAUGUUUGCAUUUGUGAUCGGAGAAACGACAAACAACAAGCGCUACUCUACACUGCUCAAAACUCACGUUUGAAUAAUCAGUGGCAAAUCCUUUACAUAUGAAAACGUACUUCCUGGCUUUGAGUCAGAAGCGCCAGACUGUCCUUGCAAAGUUGGAACUGCCCCACUUUAUAAAAAAACACCUUUGUGCACAGACGCAUUGUAGUCUACUCUCCCAGGAUCAGGAAACAGUCCUCCAUAAAAUGCACUGCACACAUCUGAAUAUUUGGGUUGAACUGGUCUGGAACAGUGUUGUAAAUACAACUUAACCACUGAUUUCUAGUUGUGUCCUCUUUUGGAAGGCCAAACAAAGUAGUUUCGCUUUCACAACGAAACACACGGCGGGCUUGUGUGAGAAACGGCCGGUGGGCUUGCGGCAACCAUAUGUGAUGACUCCGGGCUGGACUCCGCUUCGUCCACGGUGAAAGCCAAUCCAGCGAUCCACAGUGCGAAGUUGAUGUAUUUCCUCAGCGACCAGCACGGAUCAGCUCUAGGCAUGACGAAGCGGAUAUCGUCCUCUUUUGGAAGGCCAAACAAAGUAGUUCCGCUUUCACAACGAAACACAGCGCCUUCACGACAUGCUUGCGGCGGCAACAACAAUACUACAGCGAGAAAAAAAGUUAUGCUGCUUCUUUCUUUGUGUGAACAUUUGGGCGGCGUUAUGCAAAUCUUCCCACACAGUGACGUAGACAUGUGGGGGCGUGUUUAAACGAGGCGGAUUAGGAGGGCGUGGACAAGUCUUAACUUUUAUAAAGAAUAUCUCCUUGGGUUUGAGACUUUAGUCUUUGCAACUUUAGGGAUCUUAUCUAUGCACAAACAGUUUUUAACAAAGAGAAAGGAACAUUUGAAAUUGCAUCAUAUGACCCCUUUAAAAUCUACAUUAGACAUGUUGGUAACACUUUAGUUUAGGGACCAAUUCUCACUAUUAUGUAGUUGCUUAUUAGGAUGCAUAUUACUAGUAUAAUGGCUGUUUAUUAGUACUUAUAAAGCACAUAUUAAUGCCUUAUUCUGCAUGACCACAUUUUAGAUCUCUUAAUCCUACCCCAUACCUAAACUUAACAAUUACCUUAUUAACUAUUAAUAAGCAGCAAUUAGGAGUUUUGAGGCAAAAGUCAUAGUUAAUAGUUAGUUAAUAAUGAGAAUUGUUCCACAAACUAAAGUGUCACCGAAACGUAUAUGAAGUAAAUGGUAACACUUAGGCGGAUUAGGAGGGCGUGGACAAGUCUUAACUUUUAUAAAGAAUAUCUCCUUGGGUUUGAGACUUUAGUCUUUGCAACUUUAGGGAUCUUAUCUAUGCACAAACAGUUUUUAACAAAGAGAAAGGAACAUUUGAAAUUGCAUCAUAUGACCCCUUUAAAAUCUACAUUAGACAUGUUGGUAACACUUUAGUUUAGGGACCAAUUCUCACUAUUAUGUAGUUGCUUAUUAGGAUGCAUAUUACUAGUAUAAUGGCUGUUUAUUAGUACUUAUAAAGCACAUAUUAAUGCCUUAUUCUGCAUGACCACAUUUUAGAUCUCUUAAUCCUACCCCAUACCUAAACUUAACAAUUACCUUAUUAACUAUUAAUAAGCAGCAAUUAGGAGUUUUGAGGCAAAAGUCAUAGUUAAUAGUUAGUUAAUAAUGAGAAUUGUUCCACAAACUAAAGUGUCACCGAAACGUAUAUGAAGUAAAUGGUAACACUUUAUUUUGAUAGUCCACUUUGAACAUUCUACUAUAGCUGCUUUGCAACUGCAUGUCAACUAGUGUAUUAGUAGACUGUCUGUUUAACAUCUGCUAACACUUUUUGAUGAUCCCCCCAAUAGACAUUCUGCUGACUAUAAGUAACUUUGUAAGUAAAUGUCAACUUAUUCUACUAACCCUAACCAAACAGUCUGCUAAUAUUCUAAAGAGAGUUAGAUGACAAUGACAUGUAGUUGCAAAUUAAUGAGUUAGUUGACAUGAUAUUGCAAAGUUACUUAGUAGAAUGUCUAAAGGAGACUAUGGAAAUAAAUGAAUAUGAAAACCUGUGAGUGAGGUAGGUAGGUAGGUAGGUAGAACUAGUUGAUUGUGAGUGACCGGAUGCAGAAAACCAAAUGAAUCUGAUUUCUCAAGCAACAGUUUAGAAAUCAAUAAAAGUAAAAGUAGCCCCAUUUUAAAGCAGGUAUUAUGUCGAAUUGAAUUUCGUAUAGCUUCAUUUUAUGCUUAUCAGGAUAGAUUAUUUAUUCUAAACAUCCUGUGCUUUCACCUAAUUAAUUACUGUUCUGUAAAUGUUAAUCAUAACUUGUUUUUUGACACACACAGUCACAUGCACAUGCAAUGUAAUGUAGCGUUAAACCACUAUAUGAAAAUAUCUUG